rnacentral:ncRNA from 1 species
UAAGUUCCAAUGAAGAAGAUUAAAUAGUGAAAUCUUUUAGAGACAUUGUGGUUGGUGAAAACAAUGAGAGGAAACUAUGGGACACUUUGGAGGAAGUUAUGAAAAUAACCGUCUGUCGCGUUAAGACAAGAGGGCAUACAGGUUGUAUGAACUAAGGUGGUACCGCGUGAAUAAACGUCCUUAGA